UACGAAGGGGGCGAGCGUUGUUCGGAAUUACUGGGCGUAAAGGGCGCGCAGGCGGCCCUUUAAGUCAGGCGUGAAAGCCCCGGGCUCAACCUGGGAGGUGCGCUUGAUACUCGAGGGCUUGAGUGCGGGAGAGGAGAGUGGAAUUCCCAGUGUAGAGGUGAAAUUCGUAGAUAUUGGGAAGAACACCGGUGGCGAAGGCGGCUCUCUGGACCGUAACUGACGCUGAGGCGCGAAAGCGUGGGGAGCAAACAGG
rnacentral:rRNA from 1 species